CACGGUAGUUAGCCGUGGCUUCUUCUGCAGGUACCGUCCUUUUGUCUUCCCUGCUGAAAGAGGUUUACAAUCCGAAGACCGUCUUCCCUCACGCGGCGUCGCUGGGUCAGGCUUGCGCCCAUUGCCCAAUAUUCCCCACUGCUGCCUCCCGUAGGAGUCUGGACCGUUUCUCAGUUCCAAUGUGGCCGUUCAACCUCUCAGUCCGGCUACCGAUCGUCGGCUUGGUGAGCCGUUACCCCACCAACUACCUAAUCGGACGCGAGCCCAUCUGUUAGCGAUAAAUCUUUGGCAUUAACACCAUGCGAUAUCAAUGCGUUAUGCGGUAUUAGCGUCCGUUUCCAGACCGUUAUUCCCCUCUAACAGGCAGGUUGCUCACGCGUUACUCACCCGUCCGCCACUAAGUUAACCUGAAGCAAGCUUCUGGUCAACUCCGUUCGACUUGAAUGUGUUAUGCACGCCGCCAGCGUUCAUCCUGAGCCAGGAUCAAAACUC
rnacentral:rRNA from 1 species